ACGGCUCAGUAACACGUGGCUAAUCUGCCCUUGGGACCGGAACACCCCCGAGAAACUGGGGCUAAUUCUCGAUAGGUGAAGAACUCUGGAAUGAGUCUUUGCCAAAAAGACGCUUACGUUAUGCUCGUAGGCGUCGCCCAAGGAUGAGGCCGCGACCGAUCAGGUUGUUGGUGAGGUAAUGGCUCACCAAGCCUUUUACCGGUGCGGGCCGUGAGAGCGGGAGCCCGGAGAUGGGCACUGAGACAAGGGCCCAGGCCCUACGGGGCGCAGCAGUCGCGAAAACUUUGCAAUACACGAAAGUGUGACAGGGCUAUCCCGAGUGCCAUCCGCUGAGGAAGGCUUUUACCCAGUCUAGAACGCUGGGGGAAUAAGGAGAGGGCAAGUCUGGUGUCAGCCGCCGCGGUAAUACCAGCUCUCCGAGUGGUGUGGAUGUUUAUUGGGCCUAAAGCAUCCGUAGCUGGCUAAGUUAGUCCCUUGUUAAAUCCACCGAAUUAAUCGUUGGAUUGCGGGGGAUACUGCUUGGCUAGGGGACGAGAGAGGCAGACGGUAUUCCCGGGGUAGGGGUGAAAUCCUAUAAUCCCGAGAAGACCACCAGUGGCGAAGGCUGUCUGCUAGAACGCGCCCGACGGUGAGGGAUGAAAGCUGGGGGAGCGAACCGGAUUAGAUACCCGGGUAGUCCCAGCUGUAAACGAUGCAGGCUAGGUGUUUGGACGGCCACGUGCCGUUCUAGUGCCGCAGGGAAGCUGUUAAGCCUGCCGCCUGGGGAGUACGAUCGCAAGAUUGAAACUUAAAGGAAUUGGCGGGGGAGCAC
rnacentral:rRNA from 1 species